rnacentral:rRNA from 1 species
UGGCAGAACCUCGGGAAGGUUUAAUAACUAGAGGGGGUUCCCCGUCUGCUCCCCUAUAGAUAAGCCACUAACCGGCAGAUUAGUAGUUGGGUGGGUGACCACCAGCGAACACCGGCUGUUGUAUGUU